AUUGAACGCUGGCGGCAUGCUUUACACAUGCAAGUCGAACGGUAACAGGUCUUCGGAUGCUGACAAGUGGCGAACGGGUGAGUAAUGCAUCGAAACGUGCCCAGUCGUGGGGGAUAACGCAGCGAAAGCUGCGCUAAUACCGCAUACAAUCUAUGGAUGAAAGCGGGGGACCGUAAGGCCUCGCGCGAUUGGAGCGGCCGAUGUCAAAUUAGGUAGUUGGUGGGGUAAAGGCUCACCAAGCCAACGAUCUGUAGCUGGUCUGAGAGGACAACCAGCCACACUGGAACUGAAACACGGUCCAAACUCCUACGGGAGGCAGCAGUGGGGAAUUUUGGACAAUGGGCGCAAGCCUGAUCCAGCAAUGCUGCGUGCAGGAAGAAGGCCUUCGGGUUGUAAACUGCUUUUGUACGGAACGAAACGGUCUGGAUUAAUACUCUGGGCUAAUGACGGUACCGUAAAAAUAAGCACCGGCUAACUACGUG
rnacentral:rRNA from 1 species